UAACAAGUCAACCUCUCCAAGAUUCAGAAUCCAGUACCAGAAAAUAACAACUUGGGGAAGAAAAGAAAGAGGGAGGUGGCUCCCCAGGGGCCCAGGAAUGAUCUGAAGGGAAUAUUGGAGCCCACAGAAAAAGUGAAGGAACAGACUUCAAUGCAGAAAAAAGAAGGGCCAAUUUGCAGAUUCUCCCUGGCUCCUGGCUCACAGCAUGAAAGAAGAGGAUCAAAUCUACAGAGAAACAAUGAAAGCAAUAACCUCAGAGGCUCCAGGGAGAAAUGCACCAGUGGAAUGGACCCAUGGAUGCUGGGCACUACAACAGCUGGGAUCAAACUUGGGUCCUUGUGCUUGCACAGCGAGUGGCGAAACCACUGAACUAAAUCCCCGGCCCUCAACAGGAAGAUUUAUGACAAGAACCCAGGGGCUCUGCCUACAUCACUAAAAAUGCCCUCGCUCAGCAAUUUUGCUGGAACACAUCAGUUCUUCAUGGUUCAAGACCUGUGUGGAUUUUUCAGUCUUCUAGGUUUUCCCGAAACACUUUGCUAAAUUUCAUUCUCCCCUCUAUCCCUUGUCAGGAGAAAUUCUACGUAAUUUGGGGGGAAAAUCAUUUCAUAAGUAAAUCAUGAUUAGGGCCUCGUUUUCCUGCCUACAGGCCAGCUACAGCAUUUUGAGACAAAACUCUGUUCUCACCUCUUACCACAG
rnacentral:lncRNA from 1 species